UACGGAGGGUGCAAGCGUUGCUCGGAAUUAUUGGGCGUAAAGGGUAGGUAGGUGGUCUCAUUUGUCUGGGGUGAAAGCCUUGAGCUUAACUCAAGAAGUGCCCCAGAAACGGUGAGACUGGAGUCCUGGAGAGGGUCGUGGAAUUCCCGGUGUAGCGGUGAAAUGCGUAGAUAUCGGAAGGAACAUCAGUGGCGAAAGCGGCUUCCGGGACCAGUACCGACGUUCAGGCACGAAAGCGUGGGGAGCAAACAGG
rnacentral:rRNA from 1 species